UUGAAUUAUUGAUCACUGGCUCAGAGGGGCACCAAAACCAGGAGCGCAUGAAUCCUGCUGACAGACGGAUGUCUAUGUAGAUUAUCCAAUUGCCAGCUCUCUUUCCCUCUCUUCACUGGACCGUGUAAUACAGAAGAGAGCCAGAGAGACAUCACUUAUGAUUGCUUUUGCGUGCACAAAGAUUUUAAAAGUGAUUUUAACUUUUAAACGAUUACAUUUUUUUAGGAAGUCAAUGACAGCCAAAACAUACUGACAAAAACAGACAGAGUGAUAAAUGAGUGAAAUAUGAGAGCCGAGAGGAACACACUGCCCUCAUUUACUCAACUCCAUGAGCUUCCAAAUCUGCAGGAUGAAUAAACAAUGACAGAAUUUGUAUGUUUGAGUGAAUUAAUCUGCAUUCUCCAUGGAAGGAUGAAAGGAGUGGGGGAUUAAGAUAUGUAAGGGAGGAAGAGGAGACUGACAGCAUGAGAGUAGAGGUACUGGAGAGCAGGAGGGAGUGAGUAGAGUUGAUACAAGUCAAGUAGUUGCAGACACACUCUAUACUGUACACAAGGAAAAUGGGUCCUCGGCUGAACUUCAGCAGCACCUACUCUGAGGAUUUCAGUUACCCGGCUCGGGUGAAACCCAUUGGGCCCAGACCGUCCUCUGCAUAUCGCAGGAACAAUCCUCAUCCACGGCCGGACUUCCUGAUGCCACGAGCCCCGCAGACAGGAUAUGGGUCACGGAAAUACAGUCAAAGCACUUCUGUUUCUUUUCUACCUCCAGUCAGACACAUAUCGGUCCAGUAUCCAGAUGUACAGACAGUACAUGGACAACCCAUACAAACUUCACUAAAAGACUGUAAAGCGCCUGAGGUCUCGUCUGCAGUGUGUACACUGCCACCUGCUGCCAAGCUUCUCAAACCACAACGCAACUUUAAUGCAAUGAUCACAAACACACAUGGGAAAUAUUCAGACACAGAUCGUAUCAAAUCAGCUUGGAACCAGCAGAUGGAGAUCAAGCCAUCUUUAAAACCCUUCAAACACCAGAAUACCCAUCACAAUAAAAGCUCACUCUCAAAAUCCGCAACUGACUGCAGUGAAGGGCACAGCUGUUUUCAUGUGGUGAAACCUUAUAAAGUGGGACACUACAUCAUCCACCCUCAGUUUGUGUCAGAAGCAAAGCACUUCUAAAAGCGACAGUGUUUUUGGAUUGUUUUUUAAAAUAACCUUUUCCAUUUAUUUUAAGUUUGAUAAUGUCAUUUUACAGAGGUGUGUUAUGUGUUUGGGGAUCCAGCCUUUGUAAUAAAUGCUUGGGUGCAACUUCACUUUAAUGACUGUAGCACUAUUAUUUUAUUUUUAAGUAAAUGUGCAUUGCCAUGACAAAUAAACAAUGUUUAUGAUGUUCCCGUUAAAUGUGUUAUUAGCCGUAUGCAAACAUUACCAUGGUACCCAUUACAUUGUAAAAUGUAAAUAAAACAUAGUAUGCAUUCGCAAAAAUGAUAGCUACACUUAAUAUAGCCAGGCUUAAAAUAGUGUUAGAGAUAAAUUGAUAGUUUUUUUAAACCAUACUAUAGUAAUUUAACAUUUUAUUUUACAAGUAUUUAUGUUAAUUGAUGCUACAUUAAUAUAAAUACUAUAGUAUAAUUUAGUUUUUACUACAAUAAACAGUUGUGUAUUGUAGCAUAAUUUAUACAGUUGUAGGUAGAUGUAGUUUUGGGUCAUUAUUGCAAUAGCUGUUGUGUUACCACAGCACCUUUAAAAUUACUGCAGCAGAUUAAUUCAAGUAUAUUUUACCAUAGAAUGGUUUAAAAUACUAUAUUAUUUAUAUAAUAAAACAUAUAGUCUACAUUUGCAAAAAUGAUAGCUCUUCAUAUAGCCAGGCUUAAAAUAGUGGUGAUAACAAACAACAAUUCAAUUCAAUUUAUCUGGUAGAUUGUGUCAAAGCAGCUUACAUAGAAGUUCUAGUAAA
ensembl:lincRNA